rnacentral:rRNA from 1 species
ACGUAGGGUGCGAGCGUUAAUCGGAGUUACUGGGCGUAAAGCGUGCGCAGGCGGUUGAUUAAGACAGGCGUGAAAUCCCCGGGCUUAACCUGGGAACUGCGCUUGGGACUGGACGGCUAGAGUGCGGAAGAGGGGAGGGGAAUUCCGAGUGGAGCGGUGAACGGCGUAGAGAUUGGGAGGAACUCCAGUGGAGAAGGGGACUUACUGGGCGGUAACUCCCGGUGUUGCGCGAAAGCGUUGGGACCAAACAG